CAGGCUCAGCUCUCAGCCUCCUCAAGGAGUCAGCCCUGAACCUUCAUCCGGAGGGUGCCUGUCUCUGUUUCCCUUUUUGAGCUUCCAGACUCAGCAAGCAAACGCUCCCUCCUUUUACCCUGGAAAUGUUUUCCCUCCUAUGGAAAAGGUAUGAAGGCUUCUGGCCGGUCCAAGGACUUAGGAGGUGACCUGUCCUGUCCCUCUGCAGCCCGAGAAGCUGCCGAAUUACAGAUGUUGCUGCAGGCAGGAACCAUGAGUGGAACUCCCUGGCCUGGAGCUGCAGGACAGAGGCCUCUGUCUGAACCUGGGGUCUGAAGCACCGUGAGAGAAAUGACUCGAGAAGGCCCCACAUCCUGCCCACACAGAAAGAGCCAUCAUGCAAAUUUGCACGCACACACACACACACAGAGAGAGAGAGAGAGAGAGAAGACAGUGCUACUGAAGGCCUGUGGUGAGGCCAGCAGAGGCUCAGGAAGGGAGCAGAGGAUGGCGGUCUGAGGUUUUACAACUCUCUCUCUCCAUCAAGCUGGGUAAGUCAGAAACCUGAAGUCACCAAGACCUAAAUGCAAACCCUCCACUCUGGGCCCCAGCCGCUAGGGGUGUCUCCGGAACAUGGCCAAGGCUCAAAGUCAGCACCUGCUCUGUGCAGGCUCUAUGCUACAAGCCGCUGACCUAUCAGGAAUAAAACACAUGACCCCUGUGGAAGCUGAAGCAACUCCAUCUUGGAAGCUAACCUGCCACAUUGACUUAACUGAGUGACCCCAGUUCCAAGGCAGGGCCUCUACAAUUUCCAGUUUAUCUAUUGUUUCCUGUGUAAGAGCAGAUACUUACUGUAAGUCCGUAAGUGCUACUCGUAGGUCAAACAACCUUGAUGAUAUCACACUUCAAUUGUCUUAUAAAUCCCAUCUGAACCACUCCUACCCUAUGGUAUAUGAGCCCUGGGUUUGGGUGCUAAUGCGGGGAUCCACCAUCUCAUCUCAUUGCCGCCUGAGACACCUACAUGGCUUCUGUUGGAAAGUCCCCUAGCUUUCUCAGCCUCUUUCUUCAACUUCUCAACUUCCUCAGACUUUGGGGUAGGUUUGCAUAGGCCUGUCUACUGCAGAACAACUCCUGUUCUCAGGGAGCUUCCAGUCUACUGACAGAGAAAGAAAAUAAACAAUCGGACUUAUGAAUCAAA